GACUAGGGAUCCAAAGAGGGUGCUAGACCCUUACGCAUUGUUGACUUUUCGUACGCGUUCGUUUCUUGGAGUAGGGUUGUUUUGGAUCGCAACCCAAAGUAGGUGGUAUACUUCAUCUAAAGCUAAAUACGACUACGAAUCCGAUAGCAAACAAGUACCGUGAGGGAAAGUUGCAAAGUACUUUGAAGAGAGAGUUCAAGAGGACGUGAAACCGGUAGGGUGGAAGCAGAUAAAGUUGACGAACGUGUGUCGUAUUCAGAACUACAAUUUGUGGUUUGUUUUUACGAUCGAUGUGGGCUGGCGUCUUUGGUUAACUUAGUGUCUGGCGGCAAUGGUGACCCUGCGGAGGGAUAAUCGGUUGUCGUGCGAUGCUUGGUAUGGCUAGAGGUUCGCUGGUCUUAUAGUCAUCGCUUUAUCUGACCCGUCUUGAAACACGGACCAAGGAGUGUAGCGCUUACGCGAGUCUUAGAGUGUGUCAAAACUUUGAGGCGUAACGAAAGUAAAUGUGGAUUUAUUCACUGACUUGGGAUGCGUUGUCUUUUUUGGAUAGCGUUGGACCAUGGUUUUAUCGUAAUCGCUUGCGAUGCGGUGAAAAUAGAGCGUAAGCGGUGCGACCCGAAAGAUGG
rnacentral:rRNA from 1 species